AUUGAACGCUGGCGGCAGGCCUAACACAUGCAAGUCGAGCGGAGCGGCGGACGGGGGAGUAAGGCAUAGGAAUCUGCAUGGUAGUGGGGGAUAACGUCCGGAACCGGGCGCUAAUACCGCAUACUAUCAGAUGAGCCUAGGCCGGAUUAGCUAGUGGGUGGGGGAAAGGCCUACCAAGACAAAGAUCCGUAACUGGUCUGAGAGGAUGAUCAGUCACACUGGAACUGAGCCACGGUCCAGACUCUUACGGGAGGAAGCAGUGGGGAAUAUUGCACAAUGGGCGCAAGCCGGAUGCAGCCAUGCCGCGUGUAUGAAGAAGGCCUUCGGGUUGUAAAGUACUUUCAGCGGGGAGGCGUUACCCGCAGAAGAAGCACCGGCUAACUCCGUGCCAGCAGCCGCGGUAAUUC
rnacentral:rRNA from 1 species